UGCAUAUCAAUAAGCGGAGGAAAAGAAACCAACAGGGAUUGCCUUAGUAACGGCGAGUGAAGCGGCAAAAGCUCAAAUUUGAAAUCGGCCACCAGGUCGAGUUGUAAUUUGUAGAUUGUAUCUUGAGAGCGGAUUAAAGUCUGUUGGAACACAGCGCCUUAGAGGGUGACAGCCCCGUAAAAUCUAUUCUCAUUGUAAGAUACUUUCGAAGAGUCGAGUUGUUUGGGAAUA
rnacentral:rRNA from 1 species